rnacentral:misc_RNA from 1 species
GGUUAUGCUUGGUACUUGUAUGGUGAUCGGAGAUGGUGUGCUCACUCCAGCAAUUUCAGUUUUCUCGGCAGUUUCGGGGCUGGAGCUUCACAUGGCUAGUGGCACAUAUGAAUAUGCUGUGGUUCCAAUCACUUGCAUCAUAAUUGCAUGCUUAUUUGCGCUUCAACACUUUGGUACGAGUCGGGUUGGAUUCUUGUUUGCACCAAUUAUUCUCUGCUGGCUGAUGUGCAUAAGUGCACUCGGAAUAUACAACAUCCUUCAAUGGAAUCCUCAAGUCUAUCAGGCACUCUCUCCAUAUUACAUGUACAAGUUCUUGAGGA